CCUAAGCUUCAGUCAGUAAGGGAUCGUACCCGAAACCGACACAGGUGGUCAGGUCGAGAAGACCAAGGCGCUUGAGAGAACUCUGGUGAAGGAACUAGGCAAAAUAGUACCGUAACUUCGGGAGAAGGUACGCUGUUGAGGGUGAAGUAUUUACUACGUAAGCCUUUGGCAGCCUCAGAAACUAGGCCGCUGCAACUGUUUAUUAAAAACACAGCACUCUGCAAACACGAAAGUGGACGUAUAGGGUGUGAUGCCUGCCCGGUGCUGGAAGGUUAAUUGAUGGGGUUAGCGAAAGCGAAGCUCUUGAUCGAAGCCCCAGUAAACGGCGGCCGUAACAAUAACGGUCCUAAGGUAGCGAAAUUCCUUGUCGGGUAAGUUCCGACCUGCACGAAUGGCAUAAUGAUGGCGGCGCUGUCUCCACCAGAGACUCAGUGAAAUCGAAAUCGCGGUGAAGAUGCCGUGUA
rnacentral:rRNA from 1 species